UACGGAGGGGGCUAGCGUUGUUCGGAAUUACUGGGCGUAAAGCGUACGUAGGCGGACCAGAAAGUUGGGGGUGAAAUCCCGGGGCUCAACCUCGGAACUGCCUUCAAAACUAUUGGUCUGGAGUUCGAGAGAGGUGAGUGGAAUUCCGAGUGUAGAGGUGAAAUUCGUAGAUAUUCGGAGGAACACCAGAAGCGAAGGCGGCUUACUGGCCCGAUACUGACGCUGAGGUGCGAAAGUGUGGGGAGCAAACAGG
rnacentral:misc_RNA from 1 species